CAUAAGUUGUGACUGUUGCUUGAGUUAAAGCCAAUGCUAUAGGAGUUCAUUGUCUUCACACAAUCUGUAAUGUCCAGUACCGUCCUCAAAACGUGUCUUGAUGCUUUGCUCCUUGAAAACACUGGCCCAAGGCGAUUGUGUUUGUGUAAUCUCUGACUUCUGGUGUCAACAUACUUACCUUUGCCUGAAAUGUAUUCCUAACCUUAGUUACUUCUAUGUUUAAUAGAAUUUAGACAAUAGAGGUAUUUAACUGUGCUGUGUACCUAUAGCUUGUAUAUUUGCUAAUGUAUUUGAACCAAGAAGUUAUCACAAAGGACUGGUGCACUGAGAGGAAGAGUGUAAUGAGCACGCCUUGGGGAGGAAACUGGUGGGUUCCAGAGUACUUACUGUUGCCCUGUAAGUCAUAACACACUGAGGUACUUUUAUCUCAUUUCCCCUCAAAUGAAUAUUAAAUUUGAAAAUAUAAUUUAUUUACCAAGAAAAAUAAUUAAAAAUGUAUCCUCUUUUAAAUGUAACUGUGAGGCUGGCUUAAAGUAUUAAACUUUAUAGAAUAAGAUAAUUUCCUCUUUCCUUUCACAAAACAAGCUGUUAAUGCCUCACGCAGUGAGUAUCACAUUAGAAGUUGGUCGUGUUAUGCAUAAAUUUUAAAAGUACUCAUACUUUGAGCUUAUGUUUUAAAGGGAUUUUUCUCUUAGAUGUUGAACAAAUAUUUUAAAUGCUAUGGGGGUGUAUUUUAUGUCCUUAUGAUAAAUAUAUGAACAACAGGCUGUUAUAAGUAACCUCCAAAGUGUAUUAUAUAUUUUCAAGGUCUCAUUACUUUGGCUUUAAGAUCAUGUGCCAUGUUUUCACUAGUGGAUUAGAUUCACUGACUUGUUAUCCUAAAGUGGGCUGCAUUGAUUUUAAGAGUGAAUUAUACAGAAGGAUGUGAAAUGAGUUUUUUAAAUAAUUCAUUUUUAGAUUAAAGUGCCUAGAUUAAGGUUAAUGAUGAGAAAAUAAAAGGUAAAAAGUUUAAUUUUUUAAGAUUUUAGCUGUGUACGUACAUCACAGUUAUGUAAAUUAAUACAAGAGUCGGAUUGAGACCCGUGCCAUUAGUGUGUCAGGCUCUUAGGCCGUACGCCUGUGCCCUCGGUGCACAGGGCCUUGCCUUCUCCCCUUCACCCUUCAUUUCCCCUCAGGCCCAGCUCUGCCUGAGGACAAAGUGCACUGUGCCCCACUUCCCUUCCUACUUUCACAUCAGCUGUUUUCACCUAUGAGAUGUCACCGAAUGUGACACACAUGUGCGUGCCUUCCUGUUACCACAUAAGCAAGACAGUUGUGGAUUAUAUUCAUUUACUCAUUGGAGAUCUAAGUGUGUGUCCUGUGGUUUUGUAAACAGAGAUGUAAGUGAACUGUCUUUGGGGGAUCCUCCCUGAGAUAGUGUGGAAGAAUUGCACUGAAACAGUGCUGCAGCAACAUGAGGUGACCUUGGGGGUGACCUUCCAAAAGGUGUCCGAUCUCUGUCUUUACAUUUCAGUUAGUAAACAAGCUGUCCAUCUUCAAGGAAGGGUUGGUUUGUCAGGCUCAGUGCUAAUUAACUAGAAUAGUAACAAGAUAGUUUGUGGCCUUUGACGAGAGAGAUUAAGAAUGACCAAAUAAAAUUUGGGAGCAAUAAAUGUAGAAGAAAAAUCUUUGAUUGGGGGGGGGGGGGGAGUCAGGAAAGCUUAACUUUUUAAAGGAAAAUGUCUUUUUAAAAAGAACAUCUCUGGCUCUGAUUGUUGAAAAUACUUAGGAGAGACAAGUUAUUUGCCUUAAAAGUAGACACAGAAGCAAUGCUUUAACAGAUAAAACUCAAAUGAGGCUCGGCCCUGUUAGGGAGAAAAGGAAGGGCAGCCUAGUGGGCUCACGGUGUCACUGAAGACAGGCGCAUGUGCAAGAUGUUCGAGGGCGUAGGGUUGAUCCUGAGAACGUAGCUGGCUCCUCUUUUCUGGAAGAACAGAGACAAAUUCAGUUGAUUAUUUCCCUUUAUUUGUUUGUUUCUCUUAUGUUCUUGUUCAAUUAAAAAGGGAAUUGUUUCUUCCCAAAAGUCAACAAUAUGUUCAUGGAAUGGCAAAACAAAAUUGUCUUUUUUUCCAAUAUGCCAAAUUUUCUGUUCUGUGAAGGUCAGCUCCAAAGAGCUUUAUCUGUCUCCUGAAUUGUUGUCACCAUGAUUCUAUUGAUUUGAGAGUUAACUGACUAUUCAAAGUAUUUACAAAUGUUUCUCUGCUGUAAGAUGUAGCCUUUCCUACUCACUUCCCAGCAGCUAGCCUAGGAAUGAGGACGGCCAGAGGGAGGGCUAAAAAUGGUGAACUACUCCACACACAGCCUGCUGUGACCAGACUGGGGGCUGUGUUUAUAACGCUGGUUUUUAUUUUUAAUAUGAACAUUUAUUAAUAGUUAACAUAAUGAAUUGGGCUGUAAUUUUAAACUAUGAGAAUUAGGCUGGAUUAAAAUCUGUGAAUUUUAAGUUAAGAAACAUGUAUGUAAAAGAAGUGUGAUAAUGGAACUGUGAACUAGUUUGUCCUUAAUGACUGUGUCGUGUCACGGUCUCCUUGACUGGCCUCAGCAUAUCUGUUACUUCACUGUAAGGACGGAACUCAUUAAUCUGUGGAAAAGUAAAUCACCACAGCGGCAGACAACAGCACUGUCCCUCACAUGCACUGGAGUGAGCAUGUGUUCUGUUCCCGCCAAGUAAACCAGUGCUGGUGUCCUAGUGCUGUGCUGGCUGCAUCAGUGACGCUUUCCAUAAUGUGCGACACAGGUGCCUCAGAAGGCCUGUUUCCCACGUGAGGCCACAGCAGACGGAGGCAGAGAGAAAGCAAACACCCCUAGGAAGGCUGAAAUCAAGUGUAGAAUACUACCAAAUAUCUGUGCUACCGUGGAAUAAAGAUAGCAUUGUGAUGAAU
rnacentral:lncRNA from 1 species